rnacentral:rRNA from 1 species
CCUACGGGAGGCAGCAGUGGGGAAUAUUGCACAAUGGGCGCAAGCCUGAUGCAGCAACGCCGCGUGAGGGACGACGGCCUUCGGGUUGAAACCUCUUUUGGCAGGGAAGCGGUACCUGCAGAAAAAGCACCGGCUAACUACGUGCCAGCAGCCGCGGUAAUACGUAGGGUGCAAGCGUUGUCCGGAAUUAUUGGGCGUAAAGAGCUCGUAGGCGGUUUGUCGCGUCUGCUGUGAAAUCGCGAGGCUCAACCUCGCGCCUGCAGUGGGUACGGGCAGACUAGAGUGCGGUAGGGGAGAUUGGAAUUCCUGGUGUAGCGGUGGAAUGCGCAGAUAUCAGGAGGAACACCGAUGGCGAAGGCAGAUCUCUGGGCCGUACUGACGCUGAGGAGCGAAAGCGUGGGGAGCGAACAGGAUUAGAUACCCUUGUAGUC